ensembl:lncRNA
CUCUAGAGUGGGAAAAGGAGAAGAAAAUAAGUAUUGUUUUAGAGAUAUGUUCAUUUUACUUUUAUCUUUAGAAGAUGAAUGCUUAUAACAUAAACUGCCCAACAGAAGUGCUAAAAAAUCUUGACUAAUGGGGUAUGAGUAAAAGAUAUUUUUUAAAAAGUUAUCUUUUUUGACCUCUAUUCUAACCAAGGACCCCUGGUUUCUGAGCUGGCACAGUUGCUGCAUUCUGUGUUAAUCAUCAUCUCAUCACGAUCUCAUUCCAGAGGAACUGGCUGUCACUGAAGCCCUUGCAAUUGACUGUGGUCUCAGAUGGGGCAAACUUCUCGUGAACUGGUGAGCUGAGGCUGAACCUCACUAACCAACAGGUCUUGCUAAGCAUGUGGUACAUGCUGUGCUUGGUUGUUUGGCAACAAAACCCCCCAUAGGAUGUGCAUUUUAGGUCACUAGGAAGACGCCGAGUCACCCCACUGCAGACAGGCAGGUCUGCCCACGCCCUACCGAGGUCCCCAGUCUCGCGGAACACGCCGAAUCAGCCCGCUGCAGACAGGCAGGUCUGUGCACGCCCUACCGAGGUCCUGAGUCAAGCGGAAAACGCCGAAUCGGCCCGCUGCAGCUGCAGACAGGCAGGUCUGCCCACACCCUACCGAGGUCCCCAGUCUCGCGGAACACAUGCCGAAUCAGCCCGCUGCAGACAGGCAAGUCUGUGCAAGCCCUACCGAGGUCCUGAGUCACGAGGAAGACACCGAAUCACCCCACUGCAGACAGACAGCCACCUGAUUCCACAUUGCCAAGGCGCAGAGGACACCAGACCACCAGACCAAG